rnacentral:rRNA from 1 species
GAGUUUGAUCUUGGCUCAGAGCGAACGCUGGCGGCAGGCCUAACACAUGCAAGUCGAACGAACCCUUCGGGGUUAGUGGCGGACGGGUGAGUAACACGUGGGAACGUACCCUUAGGUUCGGAACAACACAGGGAAACUUGUGCUAAUGCCGAAUGUGCCCUUCGGGGGAAAGAUUUAUCGCCUUUGGAGCGGCCCGCGUCUGAUUAGCUUGUUGGUGAGGUAAAGGCUCACCAAGGCUUCGAUCAGUAGCUGGUCUGAGAGGAUGAUCAGCCACACUGGGACUGAGACACGGCCCAGACUCCUACGGGAGGCAGCAGUGGGGAAUCUUGCGCAAUGGGCGAAAGCCUGACGCAGCCAUGCCGCUGAAUGAUGAAGGUCUUAGGAUUGUAAAAUUCUUUCACCGGGGAAGAUAAUGACGGUACCCGGAGAAGAAGCCCCGGCUAACUUCGUGCCAGCCGCCGCCGUAAC